GUCAUCAAUAGGCUCACCGUCCGCGUCACCGGAAUGCAGAUUCUGUUUCAGGUCUGUGCCGGGGGCUGGAGACACCAAAGGAAGUAAGAUGCUGCUUCUUCCUCAGAGCUGGCAAUCUCGGGCCCCUGCUGCUGAUGUGCCUGAGAGAGGCCCCUGCUCUGCCUUUCCUCCAGUCGCAGCCUUCUCUACAGAGUGAGGAGGUACCAUGAGGCCGAGCCGGAUAAGCUGGAUUCAUCCCUGAUUCCACCGUGCCCAGCAUUCAGUCUGUUUGCUCUCUGACCAACCAAAUAAGUGAAUGGUUCAAACCAGGCACAGGAACGAGGGCGGGGCCACCUUUGCACCACUUGGCCGCCCCUCCCCCGGGAGGGACUCAGCAGCACAAAGGGAGUUCCCGCUGCCUUCUUCACUUCCUAACGUGUGCUGCUCACCAGCAUUUUUCUUUGUUUAUCUCUGGGUUCCCACACAGGUUGUUUGGCCUUUUUAAUUGUUUUACUUUUAAGAUUCAAAAGUUAUAUGUCAUCCUGGUAAAAAAAAAAAUA